GACAGUUUGCUUACCUUACUGUUGAAGUGCUCUGAGAGUCUUGGGGCCCAUUCUGCUAUAUAUAUCUUACAUGAAACUGAACAUUAACAUUCCAGCUUCUGUUCUCUGGAUCAUCAGCAGUUUGGGAUUCCAGCAGGAAUAACCAAAGCAGAGUGUUGUCUUUAAAGCAGGACAGCGGGAUUCUGCAGUUUACACUUCACUGCAAUGGAAGAACAUUUUAGCCACUUCGUUCUAAAACAGUUCCAUUUCCAAAGAAUUGCAAAGUUGUUCCAUUUCCAAGAAGUUGUAAAACAAGCAAGACAUAGCUCUGCAGAAAGUACUCUUGCUUGAGGUUUCUCGUUGCAUGAAUCUGUUUCUGGUCAAAUGAAUGUGUGAAGCAUGAUAUUAAACCCAGUACUCUCUCUGCAGG